UGCAGGAGCUGCUAAGAUAAGACAACGGAGGUUGCUCAGAAUUGUUCUGUUUACAUCUCAUCAAGCUGGGAUACUGAACGAGCUGGUUGCCCACCCUGGCUCACCUGAGCCCAUGGUUCCCCACAGGAGGACACUCUUGGAUCUCCAGCUCCUCAGCUUUCCUGUUCCUGUUUCCUGUGUGUAUUUUCCCCACUGAGGUGCCUCUGGAAAAUGAUAGGCAGUGGGACAGAAGAGAAAAAACUUGGCGCCUUCAAAAGUGUGAAGCCAUGAGAGCAGCCCCCCGACUACAGAGAGCGAGCCACAUUACCACAGCCAGACAGAGCCCCGUCCUCCCACUCACCCAGCAAAACCUGCUCCGUUCAGAUAACACCAAGGACAGACGGGAAUGAGAGAAAUGCCUUCCUUCUGCUAGGUGUGUAAGCCCUGGAGAAAAACCUCACAGCAUCCAGCCAAUUUGAAGGCAUGCCUUCUCACGCCCAGUAGUUCAGCAUCUGAGCCUCACUACAGAACGGCUGUGUGGUUGGUUAGUUCCAUGUUGAUUUGAAGCAGGAGAGAAAAAAAUAUGGGAACACGAGAAGGGGAAGACACCUCUCUGCUGGGGUCUAGCUGAAGACUCGCCGGCUGAGAGGCAUUAAUCACAGGGUAGUCAAUAAUGUCGGCCUUCCCUCCUCCCUGGCAUUUUCUAGAACCUCCAUGUGCAGCCCCAGUGGCUUGUGGUUUUACUUUAUCAGAUUAUAACUCCACCCGGAGAGACACCCAGAAUCUCAAUAAUAAAAAAAAGGACUAGACAUAUGGGAGAGUCGGGUACCUUCUUAGCCCAUUCAGCAGAGACUAGGGAGAUGGUUUAAUGGACAAGAGGAACUGCUGUGAAAGCCCGAGAACCUGAUUCACAUCUGCGGCACCCACAGAAAAAGCUAUGACUGGCCAGGUAACUUCAGCAUUGAGGGGCAGAGACAGGCACAUCCCAGGCCCUUGAUGGCCGGCUGGCAGAGCCAAUGGUGAGCUCCAGGUUCCAUGAGAGACCCUGUCUUGAAAGGACAAAAUGGAAGGUAAUAGGAGAAGAUAUUCGAUCUCCUCUUCUGCCCUCUGAAUGGAUGUGCAUCAGACGGACACACACAGACACACACACACACCCAGAUGCUCCCAAAGUCCUUUAUAUCAUCAGCAGUCUGACACUUCAGUGUGACUCUCCUUUGAGAAGUUUCCCUCCCCCAAUUCUCUUGGGAGUCAUACUCUUUCCCUGAGUGCCUUUCUAUUUUUUUUUUUAAAUAAACUGCAGCUCCACUUCAUAC
rnacentral:lncRNA from 1 species